UUUCUAUAGGAAAGUAGCAAUCCAUUGGUUUUAGGCACCAAAA
rnacentral:tRNA from 1 species